CCUACGGGGGGCUGCAGUGAGGAAUAUUGCGCAAUGGGGGAAACCCUGACGCAGCAACGCCGCGUGAGUGAGGAAGGUUUUCGGACCGUAAAGCUCUGUCGAGCGGGAAGAAGUGCAUGGUGGCUAAUAUCCAUUAUGCUUGACGGUACCGCUAAAGGAAGCACCGGCUAACUCCGUGCCAGCAGCCGCGGUAAUACGGGGGGUGCUAGCGCGGUUCGGGAGCAUUGGGCGCUGGAUAAGUGAGAUGUGCAAGCCCUGGGCUUAACCUAGGAAGUGCAGUUGAAACUGUUCAGCGUGAGUAAGGGAGAGGAAAGUGGAAUUCCUGGUGUAGAGGUGAAAUUCGUAGAUAUCAGGAGGAACACCGGUGGCGAAGGCGACUUUCUGGCCCUAUACUGACGCUGAGACGCGAGAGCGUGGGUAGCAAACAGGAUUAGAUACCCCAGUAGUC
rnacentral:rRNA from 1 species